rnacentral:rRNA from 1 species
AUUGAACGCUGGCGGCAUGCUUUACACAUGCAAGUCGAACGGUAACAGGGUGCUUGCACCGCUGACGAGUGGCGAACGGGUGAGUAAUGCGUCGGAACGUGCCGAGUAGUGGGGGAUAACGCAUCGAAAGGUGUGCUAAUACCGCAUACGAACUGAGGUUGAAAGUGGGGGACCUUCGGGCCUCACGCUAUUCGAGCGGCCGACGUCUGAUUAGCUAGUUGGUGAGGUAAAGGCUCAACAAGGCGAAGAGCAGUAGCGGGUCUGAGAGGAUGAUGCGCCACACUGGGACUGAGACACGGCCCAGACUCCUACGGGAGGCAGCAGUGGGGAAUUUUGGACAAUGGGCGCAAGCCUGAUCCAGCCAUGCCGCGUGUCCGAAGAAGGCCUUCGGGUUGUAAAGGACUUUUGUCCGGGAGCAAAUGCUGGUGGCUAACAUCCACCGGAGCUGAGAGUACCGGAAGAAUAAGCACCGGCUAACUACGUGCCAGCCGCCGCGGUAACAC